GAUGAACGCUGGCGGCGUGCCUAAUACAUGCAAGUCGAGCGAAGCGGGGACGGGUGAGUAACACGUGGCUAACCUCCUAUAAGUCUGGGAUAACUUCGGGAAACCGGAGCUAAACCGGUCACUUAUUGCUGUUUCCGCGCUGCAUUAGCUAGUUGGUAGGGUAACGGCUUACCAAGGCAACGAUGCAUAGCCGACCUGCGAGGGUGAUCGGCCACACUGGAACUGAGACACGGUCCAGACUCCUACGGGAGGCAGCAGUAGGGAAUCUUCCGCGAUGGGCGAAAGCCUGACGGAGCAACGCCGCGUGAGUGAUGAAGGUCUUCGGAUCGUAAAACUCUGUUAUUAGGGAAGCGGUACCUAAUCAGAAAGCCACGGCUAACUACGUGCCAGCAGCCGCGGUAAUUC
rnacentral:rRNA from 1 species